GGCGGGGGAGGGGCCGGAGGGGAGCCCCUGAGCGCGGGGCCCUCGAGUACUCGGUCCUGUCGGAGGAGGCCGACAGACGCAUAAACAAGUGCGACUGUAACUUGGGACUCUGCUGGACGCCGAGCUGAGGAGUUAGUCCUCCCGAAGGUCUGCUAGGGGCGUGGACCGAAUCUUUGUACAUGUUUUGGGAAAGCCAGUUUCUCCUAUCACCAUCAACCCCUGGAGACCUUGUGUGAACUCAGGUGUCUGUCACUGAUUAUCUAAGGACAGUUCAGGGUACAGACUUCAGGCAGGAGAAACCUGGGCUCUGCUCCUUGCCUUGUCAAUAGCCAGCUGUGUGGCUUUGAGCAAGUCACCUAAUCUCUCUAGACCUGUUUCCCCAUCUAUAAAGGACUGGACAAAUGCAACUCUGAAGAUCCCCGUCUGACUCCAAAAUUCUAAGGCUCUAUGAUUUAACAUUUAUUUAUAGACUACACACGGUGGAAUCUUGUGCUGGUUGCUAUGGGGAGGUGGAGGGGCAGUAAGAAUACAAAGGAACGAGUUUCUGUCCAGGUGGAGGUAAAAUAUAAACACGACAUUUUAAAAUUACGAUGGAAUACUCUUGAUAAAUUGUGCUAUUUUAGACUGAAUACAUAAGCACUGUGUUGUGGGUGGAGAUGAGUUGAUCUGGAAAGGAACAGCUUGCCCAUCUAAGGUGGGGUGGUGGCUGGAAUCAGAGUGGCUUAAGCUGGACCUGAAAGGCCUCACCACAGCCCCUGCGCAGCAGAAGGACCUCCCCACCCACUGCCCUAGAUUACUACUGGACAAAUGCAGUGCCAGCUAUUGCCUGGAGAUGUGUAUACAAGGCUUGUUUGGAGCUGUUAUUUUGCAUUGUUUUGGUAUUCUUGUAAUUCCUAUGAAAUUUUUUUCACUUGUAUGUAGUGUGUUUCUAGUCUCCCCAUCCAGACUGGAGAGCUGGAUCCUCACCUUCUGUUUCUGUUUUGCUGGAAUAUAAAGAAUGGAGGAAAAUUUUCAAGACAUUAUUAAGGAAAAAAUGAUAGAAUUUGAUGAUUAAUUGGGUAUUGGGAAGGAGGAAGCUAGGUAGGAGAACAAAGAUAGUUAUAAUGUUUCUAACCUGACAAGGAAAAUACUGCCUUAAACAGGUGAGGAAGUUGGGAAGGGAGGCCAAGAAGCUGAUUUUUAGGAGAAAAUAUGAACUCCAUUUUUAAUGUGCUUAAUUUGAAGUGAAGUCUGGGUUUGGGCAGUGCUAAAGGGUGGAUUAAUGGGUUUAGGACUUCCAUAACUUCCUCUCCUUUGAUAUGGAUGAGUGACAGUUUUCUGAUCAUCUGUAAACACAGCUUCAAACAUCCUAUCAACUAGCCCCUCAUAUACAGAAAUUCGGAAGCCACUUAUGGGUCAAGAUAUCCUCAUGGAAAUGGCCUAGAGGCAGUUUGAAGACCAUUUUGCUUUCUACUAAGGGCUGCUGUGCCUCGCUUUAUUUAAAAAAUACAUUCCUCCAAAUGCGAAGAUUUGAUACCCAAAGAAGAACCAAUAAGAAGAUGUAAAAGUCAGUGAUGCUUGCAAACACAAUAGCAAUCCUUCAAUAACUAAACAGACUAAAUUGGGAGAUUUUUAGACCCAUAUAAAAACAGGUUCAACUCAUA
rnacentral:lncRNA from 1 species